GUCCCUUCGCAGUGGUAUCGUAGCCUAUGAGGUCAAUCCGAGGCGUGAUUGUCAUAGUUGAAAAACUUUAAUUCAAUUCCCGCCUUGACGACCUGGGAAAUAUAGUCAAAUGGCAAUUUUGAUGGUUUCUAUGGAGA